AGUUCCUAUGUUGAAGGAUGGGCACUUUAAGGUCAACAGAGUGAGCUGGGAAGUUGAAACGUGAAGAUGUGAGGACAGAGUUGGUAUCUAAGUUUCUUGUAAGGAACUGGAUGCACCAAAACCUCAAGAAAAUACAGGAAGAUGAAUGGCCUAAAUAUGGUGAUUCAACACUUCAGUUGACAUAUUAUCUGGGCUAUAGAUUUCAUGAGUUUGAAUUUGUAAGUUUCAGAAAAACCAUCCAAAUGGUGUACAGAAAUAGAAUACAAAACACGAUACGGAUCAGAAAACAGUAUUAGAAGAUAAAAACCAACAAGAAUGAACAGCUGCAGAAAUACCACUAUGGA